rnacentral:tRNA from 2 species
GCAGUUAUGGUGGAAUUGGUAGACACGCGGGCUUGAGGGGCUCGUGCUUAAUCGCGUGAGGGUUCAAAUCCCUCUAACUGCACCA